rnacentral:rRNA from 1 species
CCUGCCCUACGGGACGCAGCAGUGAGGAAUAUUGGUCAAUGGACGAGAGUCUGAACCAGCCAAGCAGCGUGAAGGAUGACUGCCCUAUGGGUUGUAAACUUCUUUUAUAUGGGAAUAAAAUGUUCCACGUGUGGGAUUUUGUAUGUACCAUAUGAAUAAGGAUCGGCUAACUCCGUGCCAGCAGCCGCGGUAAUACGGAGGAUCCGAGCGUUAUCCGGAUUUAUUGGGUUUAAAGGUAGCGUAGGUGGAUUGUUCAGUCAGUUGUGACAGUUUGCGGCUCAACCGU